CGAAGACGAUCAGAUACCGUCGUAGUCUUAACCAUAAACGAUGCCGACCAGCGAUUAGGAGACGUUGAAUACAAAACACCGCCGUUAAUCCUUUUCAACGGGGGUUAACGGUUGGUGAAUGACUCCCCUAGCAGCUUGUGAGAAAUCAUAAGUCUUUGGGUUCCGGGGGGAGUAUGGUCGCAAGGCUGAAACUUAAAGGAAUUGACGGAAGGGCACCACCAGGAGU
rnacentral:rRNA from 1 species